AUACGGAGGAUGCGAGCGUUAUCCGGAUUUAUUGGGUUUAAAGGGAGCGUAGGCGGACGCUUAAGUCAGUUGUGAAAGUUUGCGGCUCAACCGUAAAAUUGCAGUUGAUACUGGGUGUCUUGAGUACAGUAGAGGCAGGCGGAAUUCGUGGUGGAGCGGUGAAAUGCUUAGAUAUCACGAAGAACUCCGAUUGCGAAGGCAGCCUGCUGGACUGUAACUGACGCUGAUGCUCGAAAGUGUGGGUAUCAAACAGGAUUAGAUACCCUGGUAGUCCACACAGUAAACGAUGAAUACUCGCUGUUUGCGAUAUACAGUAAGCGGCCAAGCGAAAGCGUUAAGUAUUCCACCUGGGGAGUACGCCGGCAACGGUGAAACUCAAAGGAAUUGACGGGG
rnacentral:rRNA from 1 species